ensembl:lncRNA
CAACCACAGAAGACUCUGCAUCUUCUCUGUAUUUCUUGGACAUGAAUCAACUGGUUUUGUGGAGACAAUGGAGACUGUUGACUCAGGCGCACUUCAUUCGACCCUGACUCAUGGAUAUACCCUGUUUUGCCUAAACCAAUCACUCGAAACCUUAUCAGGGAUGUCCAGACUUUUCACGUUGUAAUGUGGUCUUGUCAUCUAUGAAUGCCUUGACUGAAUUCAUACAUGUCCUGGGGUGCAUUCAGCUUGUGGGUCACAGAUUGGACACAAGGUAACAUUUCACACUAACCUACUAGUUGAAU